rnacentral:rRNA from 1 species
UACGGGGGGGGCAAGCGUUGUUCGGAAUUACUGGGCGUAAAGGGCUCGUAGGCGGCCAACUAAGUCAGACGUGAAAUCCCUCGGCUUAACCGGGGAACUGCGUCUGAUACUGGAUGGCUUGAGAUUGGGAGAGGGAUGCAGAAUUCCAGGUGUAGCGGUGAAAUGCGUAGAUAUCUGGAGGAAUACCGGUGGCGAAGGCGGGUCUCUGGGCAGUAACUGACGCUGAGGAGCGAAAGCGUGGGGAGCGAACAGG